AAAACGAGACCUCCUCAGCGCUCCCUGAGGAGCUCCUUGUGGCUGCGAGUGCAGCUUUGUGCCUGCCAGGCUGGAGGAGGAGGCCAGCUGGGUGAGAUUAGGAAGGUGAGGGUGCAGGCUCCUUGGAGCUGGACUCCGAUUGGGUUCACCUGCUGCCCCUCGUGAGGUACUCACUGCCCUCACCUGCUGCAACAUGGCAGGCGGAAGCUGCUCCUUCUGUUUUUGUCAACCUGCCGAAAAACCUCCAUGAGUGGUGGCUUCUCCCCGUGCCUGCCUGCAUGGCUAAUACUUGGGCAAAUAAAUAACUAAGAGAAUUAAGAGAAGGUCUGGUGCCCCUAUCGCAGCACGUCUGAGACGGGUUUGAGUCCUGAAGGAGCUGAGUGACCUCUUCCUACAGAGAAAGUAUGGGCGGGCCCCCUCUGAAGUCUCACCUUCUGUGCAGUACUGGACAUCUGGCCGUGGGCUGAUGUGACUGAGAUCUGCAGGCAAGCCUACAGAAAGAUCUGGAUGUUUGUAAGCAACUUGAAGUGUGUGCUGAGCAGUGUGACUGCCAUCUGUUGUAUGCUGAAGCCAGAUCUUAUGCUGGCAUAAUUUUUGCUGUGAGAGAGACUCUAUUCUACCCGUUCUGGGAAUGUCUGAGAAGGUUCAGAGCUGCGGGUCAGGUACUGCUGAGAGGUGGCAAAAUGGAGCGAUGAGCAGUGGAUACCCGUAAGACUCCUGUACAGGAGGCACUUGGGCUCCAGAUAGCAGCCCUGGUCUCUUGUCAAUGUCUGAACAGGUACUUUGGCUUUCUUCCUGCCAGACAUUUCUUGACUUCUAUCAUUUUCUGCGAGCUUUCCUGUGUCCUCGGGCUCCUUUGGAAAAAAAUAAUUCUGUCCUAAAAGAAAGUAAUUUGUGAGUCUGAAGCAGACAUGCAGCAUCUGUGGGAGAUCAGAGAAAAUCAGAUUUUUUUUAAGUUGAAAUUUUGUGGCCUUACUUGCUUGUCCACCACUGGGAGCUUAUACAGUCUUGUAAGAUAACAGAUCAUGGGUCUGGCUGCAAGAAUCUACAUGCAUCCUGAUGUAUUUAAUGACAUCUGAAUGAUGCUGGUUCAUGAAUUCAUGAACAAACUGACAUGGUUGGGUUUCAAAAGUCUGCGCUCAGGGAGAGCAAUUGGGAUUGGUUCUCGUGUGGAGCAUGAGAAGCUCCUUAUUCACUCUCUUAAUGUGCACAGGCACAAGUUAAGUUAUAAUCUAAUUGAGAAUUCAUGCUGUAUUCCAGGAAGUGGGGUUUUGCCUCAGUGAUUUUGUUUUUCUUUAAGGUGUUGACCAGGACUUUGGAAUUUAAAACUAUGUAUCUCGAGGAAGGCAUAGAAAUGUAAUUUGAAUGCAAACUGUAUUAAGCCUUCACAUCCUGUAUCCUAGCAGGAAUUUCUCCAAACAGGGGAGGUAUUCAUUGAACUAGGAGCAAAGCAAUGUCAAGUUGAGAAGGAAAUUACUAUGGAAAUGAGUUUUAAAAGCCUGAGGCAGAUGUGGGGAGAGGCACAUUGUACUGGGAAUUUUCCUCACGCUGUCUAGUUUAUAUGGUCUUUCCAUUACUUUAACAGCAGCAUAUAAGAAACCCUUGAUUUGGAACAAAAACUUCUGAUCUUCAGUAGUUCUGCAGUGUUGUCACAGACUGGCUUUCCUUUGAAGGGAAAUUAAGCCUAGCCUCAGUUGGGACAGGGCAGCUGCUCGAAUGGGAAUGACCUUACUUGGUGUAGACCAAAGGUCCCUUCAGGCCAGUGUUUUGUGUCUGUGGUCAGUAAGGUAUGCUUAGGAAUGGGAUAUUCUUCCAGUCCUUGCCAAGGAACAGCUGAGGGGGUUCUGUAGGUUUGAUAGUCCUUAAUCUUUCCUGGGCUUGUCAAUUUUUAUUUUUAGUUUUUUGAACUUGCAUUUUAGGCAUCCAUAUCUUUUGUCAUUAAGUUCCACAAUUAGACUGCGCAGUGUUAGGAAAAAAAAACCUUUCUCACCUGCUCAGUGAUAAUGUAUAAUGGUCCUC
ensembl:lncRNA